CUACGGGAUGCAGCAGUGAGGAAUGUUGCACAAUGGGGGGAACCCUGAUGCAGCAACGCCGCGUGGAGGAUGACGCAUUUCGGUGUGUAAACUCCUUUUAUAUGUCAAGAAAAUGACGGUAGCAUAUGAAUAAGCACCGGCUAACUCCGUGCCAGCAGCCGCGGUAAUACGGAGGGUGCAAGCGUUACUCGGAAUCACUGGGCGUAAAGGACGCGUAGGCGGGUUGGAAAGUCAGGUGUGAAAUCCUACAGCUUAACUGUAGAACUGCACUUGAAACUUCUAAUCUAGAGUAUGGGAGGGGGUGAUGGAAUUAGUGGUGUAGGGGUAAAAUCCGUAGAUAUCACUAGGAAUAUCUAAAGCGAAGGCGAUCUCCUGGAACAUUACUGACGCUAAGGCGUGAAAGCGUGGGGAGCAAACAGGAUUAGAUACCCCAGUAGUC
rnacentral:rRNA from 1 species